rnacentral:rRNA from 1 species
UGGGGAAUUUUGGACAAUGGGCGAAAGCCUGAUCCAGCCAUGCCGCGUGAGUGAAGAAGGCCUUCGGGUUGUAAAGCUCUUUUAGUCGGAAAGAAAGAGUUGCAAUGAAUAAUUGUGAUUUAUGACGGACCGACAGAAAAAACCACGGCUAACUACGUGCCAGCAGCCGCGGUAAUACGGAGGGGGCGUGCGGUAAUCGGAAUUUAUGGGCGUAAAGGGUGCGCAGGCGGUCUUGCAAGUCAGAUGUGAAAGCCCCGGGCUUAACCUGGGAAUUGCGUUUGAAACUACAAGACUAGAGUGCAGCAGAGGGGAGUGGAAUUCCAUGUGUAGCAGUGAAAUGCGUAGAGAUGUGGAAGAACACCGAUGGCGAAGGCAGCUCCCUGGGUUGACACUGACGCUCAUGCACGAAAGCGUGGGGAGCAAACA